UGCGUAGGUGGUUUCUUAAGUCAGAGGUGAAAGGCUACGGCUCAACCGUAGUAAGCCUUUGAAACUGGGAAACUUGAGUACAGGAGAGGAGAGUGGAAUUCCUAGUGUAGCGGUGAAAUGCGUAGAUAUUAGGAGGAACACCAGUUGCGAAGGCGGCUCUCUGGACUGUAACUGACACUGAGGCACGAAAGCGUGGGGAGCAAACA
rnacentral:rRNA from 1 species